ensembl:lincRNA
UAUAAAGAUACUGUAAGGAAAUUAUAAGGAAUCCAAAUCAUUUUGGAAUGUCAGACGGAAAAGCCCAGUUUUCAAAUCUCUACCUAAAGUAGUAUUCAAAUCAUUUUGCACUUUCAGAAGAACCUGUAAUUACCACCUUUCACGCUAGGUGGUGGACUCAAGACCAAAAAAAGCUAUUAAAUGGAUGAAUACAUUUGAUUUAGCAAGGUCAAAAGAAAUGGAGAAGAUCAUUUUAAACUUGGAAAGAGUUCAAGUCACAAAGAAAAGCGUCUUCGUGAAUUGCAGCGAAUUAUUCUGAGGAAUAGGAGAAGGCAAUGGCACCCCACUCCAGUACUCUUGCCUGGAAAAUCCCAUAGACGGAGGAUCCUGGUAGGCUGCAGUCCAUGGGGUCGAGAAGAGUCGGACACGACUGCGCGACUUCACUUUCACUUUUCACUUUCAUGCAUUGGAGAAGGAAAUGGCAACCCACUCAGUGUUCUUGCCUGGAGAAUCCCAGGGACAGGGGAGCCUGGUGGGCUGCCGUCUAUGGGGUCGCACAGAGUUGAACACGACUGAAGUGACUUAGCAGCAGCAGCAGCAGCAUUCUGAGGAAUGUGUAUGUGUGUGUGCUUAAGCUCGUGUGUGUGUGUGUGUGUGUGUGUGGGUGUGUGUGUGUUUCUGUGCUCCCGUGUGUGUGUUUCUGUGCUCCCUAGAACCUCCUGAAAUGAGUGUUCUGGGUUUUCUGCUUUUGCUUUUUUAAAUAAUUUUAUUUAGUUAGCUUUGGCUGUGUUGGGACAUAGCUGCUACGAAGGCUUUUCUCUAGGUGCAGCAGGUAGGGUCUGCUGUCUGGGUGUGGCACGCAGGCUUCUCACUGCUGUGCCUUCUCUCGCUGUGGAGCGGGGGCUCUAGGGCACUCAGGCUCCAGUAGUUGCACACAUGGGCUCAAUAAUUGUGGCACCCGGGUUUAGUUGCUCCAUGGCAUGUGGGAUCUUCACAACCCAGGGAUUGAACCCAUGUCUCCUGCAUUGGCAGACGGAUUCUUUAUCACCGAUCCACCAGGGAAGCUCUUGAGUUUUAUUUUAGAUAAGAAUUUUUUGGUAGCAUCGAAAGCUUGCUCCUUUAAAGUCACUUGUUCAAAAGUAUUUUUGAAUGGAUAAUAUACUCAGAUAACCACUCCAACUUUGACUGAGUAUACAGAAUAACAUUUAACCACUGCGUUAAGACUUAGCACAAUCUGUGUGAAAGUGUAUUCUGUAGAGUUUGCAAGUAGCCCAGUGAGGGCUAUUUGCCCCUAUAGUACAUUAACACAGGCAUCUUUGCUCUUUGAAUUCUUGUACCUAAAUGGUAAGGUUUUCUUAUUUUUCACCUUACUUUCAAUUGUUAUUUCAUGUCCCUAUCAAUACACCAAUGCAGUAGGGAGGACUCUUUCUAUUGCUAAUCUUCAGAAGUUUUGGAAGGCUAAUAACCACAUUUAGUUUGUUAGGAAUGUGUACAGAGCAAGAAGGAGAGUAGGAACGCAGUGGAGUUAGGAAUGCUGAAUCAGUGAAGUAGGAGAUACUUUGAAAUAUCUCCUCUGCCAGUGCUUUCUAAUCAUUUCCUCAUUCUUGAUGGUUUUUCCCAUGGGGGAGACUGUAGGUAGUUGAACUAUUGUUUCAAGUAAAUCUUCUGAAUCUACUUUUACUUGUGGUUAUAACAUUUCUAGAAAAGCUUUGCAGCCCCCUAAGAUAUAUAAAUGCUUUUAA